rnacentral:rRNA from 1 species
UCCGUGGCUCGAGGACACGCUGGCGGCGUGCUUAACACAUGCAAGUCGAGCGAUGAAGCACCUUCGGGUGUGAAUUAGCGGCGAACGGGUGAGGAACACGUGAGAAAUCUGCCUUCAACUCUGGGAUAACUCCGUGAAAACGGGGCUAAUACCGGAUAUGAGAUCUACAGGCAUCUGUGGAUCUGGAAAGUUUUUCGGUUGAAGAUGAUCUCGCGGCCUAUCAGCUUGUUGGUGAGGUAAUGGCUCACCAAGGCGACGACGGGUAGCCGGCCUGAGAGGGCGACCGGCCACACUGGGACUGAGACACGGCCCAGACUCCUACGGGAGGCAGCAGUGGGGAAUAUUGGGCAAUGGAGGAAACUCUGACCCAGCGACGCCGCGUGCGGGAUGAAGGCCUUCGGGUUGUAAACCGCUUUCAGCAGGGAAGAAGCGAAAGUGACGGUACCUGCAGAAGAAGCACCGGCUAACUAUGUG